rnacentral:sRNA from 1 species
CGCGUUGGGUUCUCUAAUCCCGUCGCUGUGCAGCUCCCAAAAAAAAAAAAAAAAAAGCAGGAUGUCGUGGAAUGCAAAACUGAAAACGAAAAAUAAAAGGCGUUUUGAAUUCCUGCAUGAGUCUUAGCAAAAGGCAGCUUAAGGUAAUUAUGUCAGCUUUAGCGCGGCAGAUAAGCCGAAGUCUAAGAUUCUGCGUCUCACCUCGCCUAAUGCACACACUCCCACAAUGCGA